rnacentral:rRNA from 1 species
GACGAACCGUCCAAACGUUAUUCGGAAUUACUGGGCUUAAAGGGUGCGUAGGCGGCUUAUUAAGUCAGUGGUGAAAGCUCCAUGCUUAACAUGGAAAUUGCCAUUGAUACUGAUGAGCUUGAGUAGAUUUGAAGUGGGCGGAAUGUGUCGUGUAGCGGUGAAAUGCUUAGAUAUGACACAGAACACCGAUUGCGUAGGCAGCUCACUAAACUCUUACUGACGCUGAGGCACGAAAGCAUGGGGAUCAAACAGG